rnacentral:lncRNA from 1 species
UAGGUGACAGGUCAAGAACAACAACGGAAAUAACAGAAUAAAUGAAAUAACGGAAAUAAUAACGGAAAUAACAAAAAAAAAAAAAUGGAAAUAAGAACGGAAAUAACGGAAGUAACCUCCACAGAUACAGAAACUUACGGCAGAAAAUUUGGUGACAGGUCAAGAACAACAACGGAAAUAAUGGAAAGAAUGGAAAGAACAGAAAUAACCACCGAAAGACAGAAACAUACAGCAGAAAAUUAGGUGACAGGUCUAGAACAACAACGGAAAUAACGGAAAUAACGGAAAUAACGAAAAUAACAAAAAUAACGGAAAGAAUGGAAAGAACGGAAAGAACAGAAAGUAUAGAAAGAACGGAAAAUACGGAAAUAAUAACGGAAAUAACGGAAAUGAACUCCAGAGGGACAGAAACAUACAGCAGAGAAUUAGGUGACAGGUCAAGAAUAACAACGGAAAGAACGGAAAGAACGGAAAUAAUAACGGAAAUAACGGAAAUAACCUCCAGAGACAGAAACAUACAACAGAAAAUUAACUGACAGGUCAAGAAAAACAAUGGAAAUAACAGAAAAAACUGGAAUAAUGGAAAUAAUAAUGGAAAUAACUGAAAAAAAUAAGGGAAAAAAUAACAGAAAUAACGGAAAUAACGCAAAGAACCUUCAGAGAGACAGAAACAUACGGCAGAAAAUUAACUGACAGGUCAAGAACAACAACAGAAAUAAGGGAAAUAACGAAAAUAACGGAAAUAAUAACGGUAAUAACAAAAAUAACCUCCACAGAGACAGAAACAUACGGCAGAAAAUUAAAUGAAAGGUCAAGAACUACAAUGGAAAUAACUGAAAUAACGGAAAUAACCUCCGAAAGACAGAAACAUACGGCAGAAAGUUAGGUGACAGGUCAAGAACAAGCACGGAAAGAACGGAAAGAACGGAAAGAACCUCCAGAGAGACAGAAACAUACGGCAAAAAAUUAGGUGACAGGUCAAGAACAACAACGGAAAGCACGGAAAGCACGGAAAGAAUGGAAAGAACCUCCAAAGAGACAGAAACAUACUGCAAAAAAUUAGGUGACUGGUCAAGAACAAGAAAGGAAUUAACAGAAAAAAAAAAUGAAAUAACGGAAAUAGUAACGGAAAUAUCAGAAAUAAUAACAGAAAUAACGGAAAUAAUAACGGAAAUAACAGAAAUAAUAAGGAAAAAAUAAGGGAAAGAACGAAAAUAAUAAGGGAAAGAACGGAAAUAAUAACGGAAAGAACGGAAAAAAAAAACCUGAGAGACAGAAACAUAGAGCAGAAAAUUAGGUGACAGGUCAAAAACAACAACGGAAAUAACAGAAAAAAACGAAAUAACAGAAAUAAUAACGGAAAUAACGAAAAUAAUAACAAAAAUAACGGAAAUAAUGAAAAUAAUCUCAACUGCGACAGAAACAUACGGCAGAAAAUAAG